rnacentral:rRNA from 1 species
GACGACCGCUGGCGGCGUGCUUAACACAUGCAAGUCGAACGGAAAGGCCCUGCUUUUGUGGGGUGCUCGAGUGGCGAACGGGUGAGUAACACGUGAGUAACCUGCCCUUGACUUUGGGAUAACUUCAGGAAACUGGGGCUAAUACCGGAUAGGAGCUCCUGCUGCAUGGUGGGGGUUGGAAAGUUUCGGCGGUUGGGGAUGGACUCGCGGCUUAUCAGCUUGUUGGUGGGGUAGUGGCUUACCAAGGCUUUGACGGGUAGCCGGCCUGAGAGGGUGACCGGCCACAUUGGGACUGAGAUACGGCCCAGACUCCUACGGGAGGCAGCAGUGGGGAAUAUUGCACAAUGGGCGGAAGCCUGAUGCAGCAACGCCGCGUGCGGGAUGACGGCCUUCGGGUUGUAAACCGCUUUCGCCGGUGACGAAGCGUGAGUGACGGUAAUGGGUAAAGAAGCACCGGCUAACUACGUG